AUAUAAAAGCAGUAAAAAGUAGGGAUAAAGGAAACAUUAUCGAGCGUAUACCAUUGAACUGACUUCGAAUCGAGGUGCCCAUUUGUGUUCGUCGCCGCGUCUAGCUCCUGCGAGGCGAGGGACGCCGACCGGACCUACGACAGAUCCACCGAGUCAAAAUCUAAUCCACAUGACUUGAAAUACAUCGCUCACAAACCAAAAACUGCUCGCGAAAUCGGUUUCCCAAAACUGAUCGUCGAACUUACCGG
rnacentral:lncRNA from 1 species